UCAAGUCACAAAAGCCAGAGCUGAGCCAGGGGUGGGGGUGGGGGGCACCUGCUCCCUCAUGGCCCUGACUCAUCAUCACAUCCUCUCCUGCUGCUGUUGCUGCUACUACUGAGCCCUGAAGACAUCUGGGGAGGGGGCAAACAGGAGGCGGCUCCCAGGACAGGCUGCACCCCAGCUCGAGGAGGAACUCAGACCGAGGGCAGGCCCCAUGCGUGACCGGUCCUCAGACAGGAACCCGACCUGGCUGAGGCCACAGGGAGGGGCUGCCAGUCAGCGCCUGUCCUCCGGCUCCUUCCACGUUGGACGUGGACAAGGGGGUACCACCCGGUCCUUCUGCUCGCAGGGUCAUGAGCACAGGGCGCAGGCUGUUCCCCUCGGCUCGCUCUGGGAGUCUCCGUGGCUACCGGCCAAAGUGGAUGCCUAUGGAACAACCUUGCACGUGGCAGGAAUCCAAAGGCUUGGGCCAUCACCUGCUGCCUCUCAGGCGCACUGGCAGGAAGCUGGAUGGGAUGCGUGGAGUAGCUGGGACUCAGACCAGGUACUCCCUUUGGGGUGUGGGAUGCAACGCCCUCCCCACAGAGGCCAGUUCAAUUCUGCCCUUGAAACAACGUGAUGAGGGGGCUGGUAUCACAGUUUAGACAAAGCGAUCCCCUGUUGGUUCAGAGAUACGACCUGUCACUGGCGGGGGCUGCACAGGCAGGGGGUGGCAGAGCCAGAACCCAGGGCCCGGUGUGCUCACCUCCAAGCUCCUUGAGGUCCUGACAUUUCACACUGCACCCUGGAGCUCAGGCCCUUGGGCACCCUUAGCUCACCUCCAAGCACCACUUAGCAUCCAGGUACACUUAGGCAACAGGGACCAGUUCCCCACCUAGAGAAAACCUGAACACUUGCUUGCAUGCCUUGGUAUGAAUCAGCUUCUCAAAAAAAAAAAAAAAAAAAUCCCAACCCUGCAAGACCCUCAACUCCCUGGAAAAGUCCCUGUUACAGAGCUCUGACAUCAUCUGGCCCAGCCCUGAGCUCAUUCUGCAAGGAGGGCCCUGUUUGCAGGCCCUCGGUCACAGAUACUCAGCAAUGCUUUAACAUUACCCAAAGCUAUGACACCAGCUGGGGCAAAGCACGCAGGGAAGUUGUGUGUGUGUGUGUGGUGGGGGGAGAGGUCCACAGGGAGCUUCCAAAGGCUCUGAGGUGUUCCUGGAGACCUGAGAGGCCACACAGGUGUGCAGGGCUGGGCCCACACACAGGACACGGCUAAGGGGUCUGCAGUCCCUCAGCUCUGGCUAAUACUGAAUUCCUGUCCAAGGAGGAAGCGAAGACUAAGGCAGAGUCACAAACUCCCUAAACAAGGAAGAUGUGUGUGUGUGUACGUUUGUGUGUACAUGUGUAUGUGUGUGUGUGUGUCCUUCCUUCCCUCUCUCAGCAGAGGGUACAACACUUACUGGUUCAAAGCACUUACACAAAUCCUCAGCUCGCCCUAAAUGAACAAGGAGAGACUUCAGCGGCUGCUGUCCUACAGGAACACUGAUUCUAUACAGUCGGUCUGGAGGAAUUACUGAACACACAGCUGCAACAACAAAAGCUGGAGAGGUGAAGCUGAUUUGCAGAGUUGUACAUCACGCACGAUGUCCCGUUUUCAACAAAGAUUACAAUACAAACAGGAAAUUGUGGCCCACACAUGGGAAGAAGCCAGAAAACAGAGCUGACCUUGACUUAUAUGUUAGACUUAGUAGUCAAAGACUUUAAGGCAGUUACUGUAAAUUUGCUCAAAAACUAAAGAAAACUAGGGCCCAAGGAUUCAAGGCCCCUAACCUAAAGCUCCAUUAGGCUGUAGCUACUCCAGGUUUCUUUGGAUUCGUGGUAUUGAUAAGAGAUAGAUAGGCAGGAAGUUAGCUGAGGAUUGCUGGGCUGAAGUCACAAGCCCCCAUGUCAUUCUGCCUUCCUCGUUGCCAAUCAAAACACCCUCUUUCCCAGGAUUCACUUGCUUCAUCUGGGACCUGAGGGGAAGACGCCAUGAAAAUACAGAUAUUGAGCUCCACAUGGGAUUUAUGGAGGGAAUCAUAAAAUUCCCAGGCGGCUUCAUGCAUGUAGAGGCACCACCCCCCCUACACACCUCAUAAAAGAGACCAACAGGGGCUGGUGCUGUGGUGCAGCAGGUUAAGCCAUGGUCCACAGCACCGGAUCCCAUAUGGGUGCUGGUUCAAGUCCCGGCUGCUCCACUUCUGAUCCAGCUCCCUAUUAAUGCGCCUGGGAAAGCAGCAGAAGAUGGCCCAAGUCCCUGGGCCCCUAAACUUACGUGGGAGACCCAGAAGAAGCUCCUGGCUCUGGGUAUCAGCCUGGCACAGCCCUGGCCAUUGUGGCCAUUUAGGGGGUGCACCAGUGGAUGGAAGACCUGUCUCUCUGUAACUCUGCCUUUCAAAUAAAUAAAUCUUAAAAAGAAAAAAGAGGCCAACCAGGGGGAGAGACGCUCUUCCUCGGAAACGCAGGUGCAAAGGGAUGUCAGGGGCCCUCUCUGCUUCCCCUCUCACACCUCCUUUCCCUUCUGGGCCAACCUUUCAACCCACUGCCCACACAUGACAGCCACUUCUCUGUGUGGGGAACCCACGCUCAGGUGUGCGUGUUCACUUCCUCAACUUUUGGAUGGAAUUUACUUGACAUAUGUCAGCACUGAGGGUGCUUAUCUGUGCAUGACAAGAGCCUGGAAUGAAAAUUAAUAUCCCCCUCUGGGGCCAGUGCUGUGGCAUAGCAGGUAAAGCCUCCACCUGCAGUGCCAGCAUCCCCUAUGGGUGCCAGUUUGUGUCCUGGCUGCUCCACUUCCGAUUCAGUUCUCUGCAAUGGCCUGGGAAAGCAGUAGAAGAUGGCCCAAGUCCUUGGGGCCCUGCACCCACAUGGGAGACCUGGAAGAAGUUCCUGGCUUUGGAUCAGUGUAGCUCUGUCCGUUGUGGCCAACUAGGGAGUGAGCCAGCUGAUGGAAGACACCUCUCUCUCUCUCUCUCUCUCUCUCUCUGCCUCUCCUUCUAUGUGUAACUGACUUUCAAAUAAAUAAAUAUUUUUUAAAAAACCCUCACCCACAUCAUCACGAUGACGUAUCUCUGCAUACCUUCAUAAUUCAUCUGUGCUUUCCUGUUAUCUUACUUACAUCAUACAUAACUUGUAUAUCUUAAGAUGACAAAUAAAAUUGAAUAUAUUUAUCAUGUAAAAAAAGAAUUAAAGUAUGACAAUGACAUUGUACCAAUUGGAGAAUAUCAGAAAGACAGAAAUUAUAAGAAGAACCAAACAGAACUUCUAGACUUUGAAAGUAUGAUAACUGAAAUGAAUGAUUCGCUCUACAGGCUCAACGGCAACUUGAGCUGAUGGAAGGGAAAGCAGGCUAUCCAGUCUAAGGAUCAGGAUGGAGGAGGGGAGUAAACACAGCCUCAGAGACUGGCGGGUUCCAUCCAAGGCCAAUACACACAUAACAGGAGUCCCAAAAGAAGAGGACAAGCAGAAGGGGUGGGACAGUUAUAUAAGGGAAUGAUGCCUGAAAACUUCCCAAAUCUGUUAAAAAACAUGAAAGAAUCUCAAUGAGCACACCCUUAAAGACAGUCACACCUACACACAGCAAAAGACAAAGAAUCUGGAGAUGCAAAAAAAAAAAAAAUCAUCACAUACAAGGACGUCUCAGUAAAGCUAACGGUUGAUUUGUAGUCAAAAAGCCAUGGAAGCAGGAGGGCAGUAAGAUGACAAUUUUAAAAUACUGAACGUGGGGGGGAAGACUAUUAAAUAAAGACUACAGAACCAGAAAAUCCAGCCUUCAACAAUCAAGAAUAAAUGAAGACAUUCGCCAAUAAGCAAAACAGUCGUUAUCCUACAAAGAUCCCAAGGGCGUCCCCUGGGAGGAGCCAACAGCAGUAGGUGGCACUCGGAUCCACCGGGAGAAAUAACGAGCACCGUACAGCGAGACUCGACCGAGGGUACAUACACAUGCGUUUCACAGUUUUUUCUAUUUCAAAGCUAAGGGCAUAAAGCAAUACUCUUACAGCAGGAUGGUGCUAAGGAGGUGGCCAGCAUGGUAACAGCACAAGGAGGAGCUACACUGGAGAGAAGUUCUGCACACCAGUGACGUGACGGUAGUAUCGCUCUGAGCUACGCUGGUUGCCAUCAAGAGGCUAAUUGUAACCCCCAGAAGAACCACUGAGAAAAUGACAAUGCCCCCAGAAAACUGGGAGGAAACGUAAGUGGUGUGCUAGGAAAGACGGGUCCUCACGAAAAGGAGGCGGCAAUGGCAGACACAAACUGCAAGGUGUACAGAAAGAGGAGGGCAAAUCACGUCCCUUAUCAGCAAUUACAUUAAGUAUAAAUGAUUCAAAAACCUCAACAGAAAGACAAAGAUUGGCGAAGGGAUUUUUAAAAUGCGGAAGCUACCCAGACAAAAGAGACACGUUUAAAUAAAAAAAUAAAUAAAUAAAUAAAUAAAUAAAAACCAGAAGUAGGUGGAAUGUGAAAUGAUGGAAAAAGAUAUACCAUGCAAACAAUAUCCAAAAGAGAGAGCUAGACCAGAAACAAGAAUGUCAAACGUAACAGACUGUAAGACAAGGAUCCUUGAGGCCAGAGGAAGAACUGUAGUCACAAAGCAUCAAGUCAGGAGGGAGAGAUAACAAUCGUAUGUGUUAUAUACAUAUAUGUAGAUAUAUAUGUAUUAUACGAUUAUAUGUAUGUGUGUGUGUGUGUGUGCCCUUAACAACACAGCACCAUAACUCAUGAAGUAAACAUGGACAGAACUGCAGGAAGACUCAGCAAUCAUCACUGGAGACUCCAAUACUGAGACUUCAGCAACAGAACUAGGCAGGGACUCAACACGGAAACAAAACUCGCACACACAAGUAACCACGCACACUCUUGUGCAGGGCACACUUUUCCUCCAGUGCACAUGGACCACGUUACAGGACGGCUCCUGGCUGGGCCCAAAGCAAGCUUUCAAAAUGAGAAAGGGAGGCUGAAACAGGCUAUGCAGGUAUGUUAGCCAACUAGGAGCAAUAAGACUGCAAUCAAUUUAAAAAAAAAAAAAAAAAGAAAUUUGGGACAGUCACAAGCAUGUGGAAGUUAGCUUACUGCUAAAUGGCCAAAGAAGAAGUCACAGCAAAAAUUAACAAAAAUAGGCCAGUGCCGCAGCUCAAUAGGCUAAUCCUCCGCCUGCGGUGCCAGCACCCCAGGUUCUAGUCCCGGUUGCUCCUCUUCCAGUCCAGCUCUCUGCUGUGGCCAGGGAGUGCAGUGGAGGAUGGCCCAAGUGCUUGGGCCCUGCACCCCAUGGGAGACCAGGAGAAGCACUCCUGGCUUCGGAUCAGCGCGGUGUGCUGGCUGCAGUGCGGCGGCCAUUGGGGGGUGAACCAAUGCAAAAGGAAGACCUUUCUCUGUUUCUCACUGUCCACUCUGCCUGUCAAAAAAAAAAAAUUAACAAAAAUAAGUGGAGAGACUACGGAACAAAAUGACAACAUGUUGAAACUUCUGGGAAGCUUGUAGCCGUCAAAGAGGAAAGAUCUCAGAUUCAUAACCUGACACUUGAGAAACCAGGCAAGGAGCAAACCAGAUCUAAGCAAACAGAAAAAAGGUUACUACAACUAGCGUGCAAGUAAAGAUGAGAAAAGCAGUGGAAAUCAACAACAAACGUGGGUUCUUUGUAAAGUUCACAUUCGACAAACUUUAGCUAGACCAAGAAAGAAAAAGAAAAAGACUCAAAUGACUAACAUCGGGAGAACUUUCUAGAACCUACCAGAAUGAAAAGAAUUACAUGGGAAUAAUGUGAACAACUGUACGUCUGUAUGAAACAAAUUCCUGCAAAGACACAAAACUACCACAGCUGCCUCAGGAAGAAAUGGAAAAUCAAAACAAAAAUUAUCAACUUCAACAGUCUCAAAAUGGGAAAUACAGGGCCAGAGGCUUCACUGGUGAACUCUUACAAGACACUGAAAGAAUCAAUGCCUAGUGUUCUUAAACUAGUCCCAAAAAAGUAAAAGCUAGCAAUGAGAAAGUUCUGAGCCCCUGUAUGCAGCUGGCGGACAUCCCUACAAAAAUGCACAAAAAGCCACAUACUCCUCACCUGACAAACAGAUAAACACAACGUAUAUGCAAAUGAUGGAGCGGUGCUGUUAUAAAAGGACCAACCAAGAUGUGGGGCGGACCUCCCAACACCGCUGAGUCACUCACAGAAGGCCACACUGGGAAGACAGCGGCGCCCAGGGGCUGCCUGGGCCUGCAGAACAAGGAGGGUGGGGACACAAAUGCCCCAAAUGGCCGGGCGCCACCUCACCGGGGCUGUCUGGGAGAAGGGCCCAGCAGGUCUGCCUGAGCCACCUGCACAGCUGGGGUCCCCGGGCUUGGAUGCUCCCUAUUUUGGUCCCAGACUCCCUGAAGCCCCCCCCCCCACCAGGUCCCCUACAGUUGCAAGGACCCACAAACAAGAGAAAAUACACCACAGGUCUCUUCUUUCCCCCUUCCCUCUGAAACUCAGUCUCACUGCCUUCAGAGCCAAGGUCAGGGACGCUGGGCUUCCCCAGGACUGGUGCUCCGGGGCCUUAAGAGCCUGCCCUGCCCCCAACCCCCGUUCCUGGGCCAGUGGUGUUAACCUUGGCUGUGUGCUGACCUCUCCUUGUGCUCCAAGCCCCGCUCUCAGCUCCCCUGGCAACUCCCCACCCCCGCUGCAUGUCUCCACGCAGGUGGGAGAAGGCGCUGAGGUCUUCUAACACCCCUUGCUGGAGCGCUGAGCGGUUCUGAGCUUCCUCAGAGAGCGAUGUGAGGCCCAAGCUGCCAGGGAUCCUAAACACCAUGCAGUCUCGCCCAUUUCCUCCUCCCUGGAAGUCACCGAUGUUCCAGCAGAGAGUAAGGAGAGGAGCUAAGGCCAUCCUGGGCUUUCUGAGAAUGCUUGGGGAUGGCAUGCCCGCCCCUAAUUACAGGCAAGAAUGCAGAGGCUUGGACAGGUGACAACGCAGCCUGGCUAGGAGAUGGGACCAAAUCCUCUGAGGCCGGGUCCCUUUUUUAGGAAAAAAAAAAAAAGAUCAUUUAAAAGGCAGAGUGGCACAGAGAGACAGAGAGAGGGGUCUUCCAUCCAGUGGUCUGUUCCUAAAAUGCCUGCAACAGCCAAAGCUGGGUCAGACCUAAAGCCAAGAGCCUGGAACUCCAUCCGGGUCUUCCACAUGGAUGUCAGGGACUCAAGCUCCUGGGCCAUCAUCUGCUGCCUUCCCAGGCGCGUGAGCUGUAGCUGGAUCGGAAGCAGAGGAACCAGGACUCGAACUGGCGUUCCAACAUGGGAUGAGGGCAUCCAAGCGGUGGCUUAACCUGCUGCGCCACAAAGCCCCGGUUCCCUUUUAGAAGAACCCACAGGACUGCUUCCCAGGACACUUGAAUGGGGAAGAGGUGACAAAGAGGGACACUUCUCAGAAGUGCAGGGGGACUCGGGCCAACACCGAGCCACCAGCAGGCAGCCUUGGGGCUCCACGGCCCUGACAUUCCCACACCCACACUCACGCCUGUCCACCACAGUCCACGGCCUUCAGGGCCAGGCCAGACAAGUGCUGCCACAUUGCCGGGCCGGCACCAGCUUCACAGCCAGCAGAACACUGAGCCCAUCAUUGCCUUCAGGGAGCUCCCGGCUCAGCCGGUGAGGGCUCGGAGUCUGCAAAAACGACGCGCCUGCGCAUUGACCCACGGCAGGAAGUGUUCACAGGAAAAACGCAGGCUGGGGACCCAGCGAGGCGGGCUGUGGUCUGAAUGCCGGUCUCCCCCUCCAAAUUCCUACACUGAACUUCCUCUCUAGGGUGAUGCCGUGAGCGGGUGAUGACGUCUCUGGCCCCACCGAUGGCUGCGCUAUGGGCCAGUGUCGCUUAUGUAAGGCCGCCACAAAACACACCAAACACCAGAGGAAGGGUUUAUCAGGGGAAACCCGACAGACUGGAGACAAGGGGCAAAGAAGGAAAAAAAGGGAGAAGAGAGUGUAAGAGAGCGAUCAAGAGAGCGAGUGAGUGAGCGAGCCACCUGUUCAGGAGCAGGUCCUGUUAGACCUUUGUGGGGUGGGGGCAGGGAAGUAGGAGCAGCGAAUCCCAUUAGGAUGGGGGCGGAGCUGACAUGGGCGGUUGGGCCUUGGGGCCACCUGGCUUCCAGCAAUGGCGGCGGGUGCUAGAGCCUAGGAUGGUGUCCAGGGUGUAGAUCACCAUGGGUAAGACUGCCCAUUUCACUAACAGUUUAGUCUUUAUCCCAGGUUCUUGCCCUCAUGGAGAUAAGAGUGCAAAGCAGAGGCAUACACACACAGUGCAUGAGAGCAGAUUUGAGAGAGAGAGAGACAGCGAGGUACCUGUGUGGGCGACAGAGUUGCCUUUAAGGAGGGAGGCGGGGGAGGUGCUUGAAGAAGCCAAGGGCAGAAGAAGGACCCCCCCCCUUACCAGUCUUUUAGGAGAUAGGGGUGGUGCCCUAAUUAGAUAUGCCUGGGGCUUUGUGGGAGCUUCAUGGCUGCGCCUCCACAUGGGGUUUAACUUCCACAUGGCCACCACGACGUCCCCUCCUUCCUGGUCCCGGACGAGGCCCAGGUGCCUCCUGGGAAAGUGGGUGUACUGGAUUGACAGGUGAGGGGCUGGAGCUGCAAUGCAGGGCUGGCAGCCCCCCUUCUACCUAAUCUUCUGGCCUCGUUCCCCCACAUGGAUCUCAGUGCCCUCGGAGGGAGGCUGAAGGCAGCCUGGCCACCAUGCAAGGACACACAGGAGGCACUGGCCAUGAGAACAGGCACUCGCCAGACGCCCAGUGUUCUCACACCCUGGUCUGGGGCUUCCCAGCCUGGGGCGCCCAGGGCCAGAGAAGGGGCAAGGCAACUUCAAGGUGGAGGGAACCCAGGAGGAUGAAAGGAAAUAAAACCAGCCCAUGGUGAAGAUGAGGAGUGAGGGGAAGCUGGAGACCACACACAGCCACCUGCGGACAGCACCAGGGGUUCACUGUCAAGGUCGCAGGAGGACGCAGGGGAGCGGGUGACGCAAACACGCUGCUCUGGCUGCUGGAGGACCGACCCAGCAGGAGGGGUCCCUGUGGGAGGACCUCCCAGGAGGCCGCUGCGGUGAGCAGGGACAGGGCGCGGCGGGGCUGAGACCAGAGUGUUGGCACGGAGCAGAGGGACUCAUGGGUAUCCAGGAAACCGAACUGGCAGGACCUGGUGAUGGCAAAUGGGAGGGAAAGAGCGAGAGCUGGGACUUAGCCUGGGCCAGUGUGAAGCCCAGGCCACUCUCAGAGCCAUCCAGUGGGCCAGAGGGAGGCCUGACCCGGGGAGAGGCCUGGAGGCGGAGUGUGCAGCAGACUGAGAAGGGCCAGGGUGAACCUGCGCUGACCAGCUGGGAAACCAGCAGAGAUGACAGCAUGAUGCCAGAGGGCGCAGGGUGGUAGUGGGGGACAAUGGCCUGGGAGUGGGGCAGGGCAGGGCAGGACCAUGGGAGCCAGGACUCAAAACUUAGCCAUCAGACCCCUGGGGCAGAGCGAAGCCGAUUUCACAGCAUAAAGGGAAGAAGAGCAGGUCCAGCAGACCCAGGCUGCGCAGGGUCAGCCCAGGAGGCGGAGCUCAGAGUGCCAGGACUGCGCACCUGCCCCAGCACAGGCGGCCUCUGCACAGCCGAAGCUGAAGAGGGUGCUAGGGUUGAGUGGGGAAGGACCAGAUGGAUGGCUCCUGGGGUGCUGGGGUGGGGGAACUCGAGGGGCAGGGCUUGUGGAGCACACAGGGAAAGAUUUGUUUGUUUAAAAGGUGAAGAGACAGAGAGAGAGAGCAAGCGAGCGAUUGAGUGCUUCCAUCUGCUGGUUCACUCCCCAAAUGGCAGCAAGAGCAGAUAAGGGCCAGGCCAAAGCAGGAGCCAGGAACUCCACCCAGGUCUCUUAUGUGGGUGGCAGGGGCCCAAGUACCUGGGCCAUUUUCUGCUGCCUCCCCAGGUGCAUUAGCAGGGAGCUGGAUCGGAAGCGGAGCAGCCAGGGCUUGAACUGGCACUCCAAUAUGGGAGGCCAGUGUUGCAAGUGGCAACUUAACCUGCUCCACCACAAGCUGGCCAUUUGGUUUUUAAAAUGCAAAGUCUAAGGAGCGAUUCCCACAGGUGUCUAGGCCAGCAGGAGUGCCCCAGGGAGCAGAAAGGAGGGUGUGAGCAUCGGGGGAGAAGGGGACAUGACGCGGGGCAGGAUGGGUCCUUAUCCCGCAGUUAGGGUGCGGAGCCGAGAGACCCAGAGGCCAAGAGGAGCAAGUGGCAGCGUGGGAUGAGCGUGCCUCAGGGUCUGGGGGGCCCCCAGGCUGCCCUCGCCCCCUCCUUGGCCUGGAACUACAGCUGUCUCCGUGCUGGGCUCCAGCACCACAGCCCGACCCUGGACAACAACGUGGAGGCAAUGAAACACGCUACCCAGUGAGGAUGGGGCCCUCUGCUUUUAGGGGAGCUGGACUCUAUUCUCCAAACCCCUUGCUGCUCAUCAGCCUUCCGGCUUCUCAGGGAGUUCCUGGAACCCACGAAUGCGCCACUCGCAAAGCUCCGCCCUGCACAGAACGCUGCGCGUGGCUCACCAUCAAGCACACCCUCACCAAGGGCCCCAGCCCUGCUCCCAGGCUCGCCACGCCCACACCUGGCUGCAGCUUCCCAGCCGGCAGGAAAGCAGGUGGCACCUGGAUGAAGAGCCAGGCCCUGCAUUUCACGGGCAGGGUGAGGACACGCACGAACGCGAUUCCGGUGCCGCCUUCAUGAGCCCACACGUGAUUGGAGCUUUUCCGCCUCACCAAGGACAACAUGCCAAAGUAUGGUGUCAUCACACUUUGGAUUAGGAAACACCCAAGAAUGAAACCAGCGAGAAUGGCUGUGGCCUUUAACCCAAAUGACAUCCGUGACCAAGGACCCGCUUCUGGUUUGGAGAGUCAGGCGAGCCUCGGCUCAAUGCGUGACACACAGAACCCCUGGGAACAGCCACACCACAACGUCACUGUAGCUGUGACGCCUGAAUCACCUCCUGUGCAAAACAGCAAGUUGCAAGCGGUGUCUAAACCUACACAAGUACUUCCAAAAGCUCCUGGAAAUGCGGAAUUAAAAGCUAAGUUUAUCUUGC